rnacentral:sRNA from 1 species
CAUGCCUGGUUAAUUUUUUAAAAUUUUUUUUUUCUUUUAGAGAUGAGGUCUCACUCUGUUGCCCAGGCUGCUCUUUAACUCCUGGUCUCAAGCAAUCUGCCCACCUGGGCCUCCCAAAGUGCUGGGAUUACAGGUGUGAGCCACCACGCCUGGCCCUCUGUUAAUGUAUUAAUUUUAACUCUUUGUUUUGUUAUUUGAGGGAUUACUUUAGGGUUUUACAACUCAUUAAGUAAAAGGGGAUCAUCAUAAGUGUAUUGGAGGAGGAAGGGUUGGUCUUGCUGUGUCAGGGGUAGCGGAGGUACAUCUUGACUUACCACAGUUUCUUUCUUUCUUUUUUUAUUGUAUUCUUUACUCCUGGCAAGCUGUGACACAGUUAUUUUCAAGAGAUGUAAUAUACUACUUCACACGUAAGAACUGUACAAUUGUAUACCUUUUUUGCCAGUCCCAAUUUUUAUGCAGUUGUUUUCAUACAUUUUAUGUUCAUAUAUGUAAUAAAAUUAAUAAUAUGUUGUUAUUUUUAUUUAAAUGACCACUUAGGUUUUAAUGUGUACUUAAUAAACAGUAAGCAGUC